rnacentral:misc_RNA from 1 species
CCAAACUUGGUCAUUUAGAGGAAGUACAAGUCGUAACAAGGUUUCCGUAGGUGAACCUGCGGAAGGAUCAAUCUGGGACUUUAAGUAGCCUUUGUGGUUACAUGCCUCAAGUCAUUACACCCGUUGCACCUGUGCCUGUUUGUCCCCGUCAGAUGCCUGUCGGGGGUUGGACAUGACAUCAUUACACACUCAUUGUGGUUGCAGAAUGUGCAUUGUUGGCUUUUGCGCCUGCUUAACAUCACAACUUUCAACGAUGGAUCUCUUGGCUCUCGCAUCGAUGAAGAACGCAGC